rnacentral:tRNA from 1 species
UCCUUGAUGGUCCAGUGGCUAAGACUCCAAGCUCCCAACUCGGGGGGUCUAGGUUCAAUCCCUGAUCAGGGGA